CUCACAGUUGGCUUGAUGGGAGUCAAGGAUCUAACAGAGUUGUGUAAGACAUUCAAAUAAGACAUAUCACACUACUUGGGAACACAAGCAAAACAACGGUUUAAUGGUUUUGGAACCAUUAAAGCAGCUGGAUCUUUAGCAAGGCUUGUGCAGUAGCUUCAGAAUUUCUGUCAAGAAUCUCCAUAUAUAUGUUGAACAUGCACUAUAUAUUUAGGUGCUCUUAACCUUAUUCCAUCAUUGUACCCUUUUCUUUUCUCCCAUGUUCUUCAGGAGAAAAACUAACCAGAUAUCCAAAUGAGAGGACCACUGCUUUCUAAUGUGCAGGAGUAGAUAGUGUAUCUGAACAUAGAAGUGGCUUGCUUAUGGAGUCACUGUGAUCAUUUAAAAGAUCCGAAAAGAGAGGAAGAACACACUGUUAUUAAUCCUCAAAACAAAGCAGCAAGAGUGAAUGCAAAAACCACUGGAAGAUUAGUUUGUUAAAUGUGCCUAGAACAUGUUUAGCAAAAUUCUCAUUGCAUGCAUACGAGAGAUGACACUGGGCAAGAUUUCGGAACUGCAGUGUGGUCUUAGGUGGGCAGAGGAUGUGCAGAACAUAUUUUUAUUCUUUGGCAGAAAAAUAUAAAUUCAAACUCUUUUACCACUGAUGGAUCUUUAAUGAUUUAUGGUAACAGUAGGUCAUGUUCCAAAAGUCAUCAUCAUUGUUGUCAUCACAUUAUCAUCACCAUCUUCAUCUCAUAAUAUAUAUCAAGAGAAAAAGGCUAAAGCUUCUAUAUAGGAAAUCAGAGGUGGAGAUGAUAAUGUCUCUGUAGCAAACACACUGCCCUGGAGUUGUAUUCCAAAUC